AUAAUAAUGUAGUUGGGCUUUGAAACAUUUUCUUAAAUUAUUCAGAAUUUAUUGGUUCAUUCAUAUAUAUUUUACACAAUGGUAUGCAUACCGUAUGUUUAUUCAAUAUUGAACACUUGAGGCCUCCAUAGUUUUAUUUGCUAUUUUCAAAGUAAUGUGUCAGUGAAUGGUUAAAGGGGUUCAUGGUUGAAGUGACAGAGCGAGGAGGUAUGGGUAUAAUUAUGUGAGUGUAUAUCAGUGCUGGGUAGAGUUGUGUAACUGUUUGAGGUGUGAGCAGAGAGACAUAUGUAGGUUCAUACUUUUGGUAAACAUCUCUGGUAUGUGUACGAGACGUCACACCCUUAGUUAGUAUCAUUUUGAAUGUGGCAGGUCUUGCACAAGAAUGCUGUGAAAUGAUGAGAUGUGAUCAUAAGGUGCGUUAAUCCUAGGAAUGCUGAAUGUCUGGUCAGAGUCACAUAGUUUUUAUGUUUUCCUUUGCACCUUUUAACCGUCACAGGGACAGUGUUUCCUGAAUAUUGUGCACAAGCUUUUUUAACCACACCUACUUACAUUUCUCUAGAGCUGUUUUAAUUUUCAUUUUGACAAAUAAAAGUUUACAUUUCAUGCACAAAAAACACGCUUUUCACAUUGUAGGUAAAAGUGCCAACUGCUGGGGGUGGAUGGACUUGAAAUCAUGCAACCGUGCUUGACUUUUAGCAGCAUCUCGUGAGGUUUUUUGUAGUGAACAAUCUUUAUUUCAGAUGGUCACAUUGUGGCUCGAUCAGAGAUUUUUCUGAAGUGUGUGUGUUUUUUGCAGUAGUGGACAAUAGAGGCUAUUUUGAGGUGUGAUCUGAUCUUUGUAACUGGAGAGGUUUAACUGAAAAAAAAACAUUCCUGUGGUGUGAUAUAACUUUUAUAGGCAUCUAAUAAUUUGACUCAGCAUUGGAGGAGUUGCAAGGUUAGAGGAGGUUUUUACAGAGGUGUCGGACAGGACUUGAAAAGUCUAAUAAUGUGUUAGUAUUAUACAAAUUAGACCCAUCUUUGAUUUUGAGACACUAACCUCCAAGUGGCAGAGAUUUUCCCAAAAUGCAUCUGCAGAUUUUGAAUUGAAACUUAAUUUUUAACUUCACUUUUGACAGUUUUUUUCCCCCCAUUAUUGGAGAUGGGCAUCAUUCAGAACAAGCUUGAAAAAUGUUGAUUUAAGUAACGUUGCUGAGUUAAAUUCUUGAGUUGCCCUGUGUGUCACUGCCUUGAGAGUCAGUCGGUGGGAUGUUUUCUCUCGUAUUCUGCUCGUUAUUUUGUAAUGUGCUUCGUUCUCAAAAGGUGUAGCAAGUGACAGGUGUGUUGUUGUUUCUUUCCAUCAUGUCAGUCAAGAAUUAUUGCUCUUGACAGUUGAAUUUCGUUUGAGACAAUGAAGUUAUACAGUUCUGUCUCAGUGACAAAGAAACUGUUUUUUGGGAGAUGUGACACUGUGCUUAACAAUGCAGUGAAGUGCGUCAUUACAUCCAUUUCUACAUUUCCGCAUAGAGCUCAUAACAUAACCCCGUUUGAUGCCGUGGGCUUAAUGCUGUUAGAAACUUCUGCUAAGGUUUUCCUCCCAUGGGGCAAGAAGUACUUCAGGAUUUAUUUUGCAACGACUGCAACAAAAUAUGAUAUGAGGUAUUAUUCAAACAAAUAUAAAGGUGUGGCUUUUUGUCAUGAUUUAAAUGAGACUGAACUGAAAUUAUGCCAUUGUCAUUGUGCUAAAAUGAAUAUAAAUAUUAUAUAUUAAAAUAUAUUUGCUAACCUA